GCUCCUGUCUGGUGGCCUCUAGUAAACAGGAGUCCUGCCAGGCCUCACAGGGAGCAGGAUCGAACCUGUUACUGCUGCUGCUGCUAGGGGAUAUAAGCAGCCUGGAACACGGCUUUGAAACACAGCCACCUGCUAUGACUGGACCAGCUGCUCUCACCGCAGCAGACAUGAAGAUAAAGGCCACAGUUGUCUGGACGUAUACUUUAGUCAUCUCCCUGUUGGUACAGUCCUGUCAAGCACACAAGCUGAAUAUCCACUGGGGACCUCAGUCCAUGAUGUACUUGAAGGGCAAAUAUGGCAGGAGGUUUGUGUCAGAGGAUGACAACAGUGUUUUGAAGCAGGGUCCGCAGGGCUGGUAUGCGGUGCUCAGAGGUACAGUACCACUUCAUUUGUUUAUGUCAGACUUACUGGCUUUGCUUCCUUAAAACUGCUUUUCCCCAAAUUACUGGUGAUACAUGUGGUGACAAACCCAUUGUACUGUGUCUUCACUGGGUUUUACAGCCUCUUUUAGCUUGUCAUCUGAUUUUACUGCACAUUUAUUAUGUGUCAGGUUCAGUUCUCUUGCCAGCAGCAGCAGCUAGUGUGCAGUGGCUUUUUACAUCUUUUUCAGAGGAACAGCUGGGGACCUCCAUUUGAUGUGGGGACACACUGACCUAGAGUUUACAGUACUGACCAUACAUCCCUGGAUUGAGUCCUGCCAGGGGCCCUCGUUGCAUGUCAUCUCUCUCCCUCCAUGCAUGGCUUUACAUUUGACUGCAUCCAGAGGCUGCAGCUACUGGACUUCAGUAAACCCAGUCACAUCAUAAGCUCAGAGAAAGUCC